GAGCCAGUGAGGCAAAGCAUUAAGGGACCUGGAGAAGUCUUCCACACCGUCUUCCUGCAUAGUUGGCAGAGUCCUCACCAGAGCAUGCAUUCCUGCUCCUUCUGGAACUUCCCUCACCCUCAACCUUAAGGGCCCAUCCUGGAGGACAAAACCUGCACCUCUCACACCUGAACAGAAGACACGUGGGCAGCAACUGGGCCCCAGAGCUCACCCCUCUUACCCCAUCUCCUUACCCAGCUGCAUUGUCCUCAGCAGGGAUCAGAGCAUUAACAGCUCUAGGAGCUGAACUUGCAGGGAAAGUCCACCCUAGUGGACACAAUGCAAUUUCCUGGUGGGUGCAACAGUGUGUGAAGAGCCAAGGGGAGGUGGCAGCUGUCUGGUGAGCAGUGACUGAAGGGUCUUGCUCCACGCUCCACCCUACUCAAGUCCACCCCUUUGGCAAGAAGCUGCUGCAGGUUCCUGCCACCUUGAGGUGUCCACUUAUGUGAGUCUGUUCUGAUAACAGUACCAGGGAAAUUGCUCCUGAACAUGGCUAUGCAACUGAGGCUGAGGAAAAGUCCAGCAUGCAGUUGAAAUCUUAUCAGCAAAAUCACAAGAUUUUCAAAUUGAAGCAGAAACAUUGUGAUUCAGCAGAUACCACAGCAGCUGUCCAUCAAGGAAACACCUGGUAUGCACAAAAUAAUGACCAUGGUCUCAGGGAGGUUUUGUUUCAUGUUGAACCACUAAGGGACACCAAUUACUAUACUGGUAACAGUGAUAAACUACAAUAUCUUCAGGUUCCAGGCUGCUUAUGGUGAAAGCAAAGUCUAUUCCUCUCUCACUGCCACUGAACCGGGCUGGGAUCCCAGUGGCCCUCAUGAAUGCAUCAUAGAUAAGGAGUUUGGGAGCCUUCCCAGGGUUUUGCUUGUACCAGGCUAAACUGCUGCCAAUGCUCUGACUGGCCCUGAAGGUGAGGGUGGCUGUUUCUCCUGGAGAAAAUGCCAGGGAGGCUGGAGACUGGGUCAACAGGGC